AUUGAACGCUGGCGGCAGGCCUAACACAUGCAAGUCGAGCGGAUGAAGGGAGCUUGCUCCUGGAUUCAGCGGCGGACGGGUGAGUAAUGCCUAGGAAUCUGCCUGGUAGUGGGGGAUAACGUCCGGAAACGGGCGCUAAUACCGCAUACGUCCUGCGGGAGAAAGUGGGGGAUCUUCGGACCUCACGCUAUCAGAUGAGUCUAGGUCGGAUUAGCUAGUUGGUGGGGUAAAGGCCUACCAAGGCGACGAUCCGUAACUGGUCUGAGAGGAUGAUCAGUCACACUGGAACUGGGACACGGUCCAGACUCCUACGGGAGGCAGCAGUGGGGAAUAUUGGACAAUGGGCGAAAGCCUGAUCCAGCCAUGCCGCGUGUGUGAAGAAGGUCUUCGGAUUGUAAAGCACUUUAAGUUGGGAGGAAGGGCAGUAAGUUAAGACCUUGCUGUUUUGACGUUACCAGCAGAAUAAGCACCGGCUAACUUCGUG
rnacentral:rRNA from 1 species